rnacentral:misc_RNA from 1 species
GAUGAAGAACGUAGCGAAAUGCGAUAAGUAGUGUGAAUUGCAGACUUUAGUGAAUCAUCGAAUCUUUGAACGCACAUUGCGCCCGCUGGUAUUCCGGCGGGCAUGCCUGUUCGAGCGUCAUUUCAACCCUCAAGCCCCCGGGUUUGGUGUUGGGGAUCGGCUCUGCCCUUCUGGGCGGUGCCGCCCCCGAAAUACAUUGGCGGUCUCGCUGCAGCCUCCAUUGCGUAGUAGCUAACACCUCGCAACUGGAACGCGGCGCGGCCAUGCCGUAAAACCCCAACUUCUGAAUGUUGACCUCGGAUCAGGUAGGAAUACCCGCUGAACUUAAGCAUAUCAAUAAGCGGAA